rnacentral:rRNA from 1 species
GGGUCAGGAGGUUGGUCGUGCCACCGGUACGUACUGGUCUCACUGAUUCCUCCUUCCUGAAGAACCGUAAUGCCAUUAAUUUGGUGUUGCGGGGAAACAGGACUGUUACUUUGAAAAAAUUAGAGUGUUUAAAGCAAGCUAACGCUUGAAUACAUUAGCAGGGAAUAAUGAAAUAGGACGAUCGAUCCUAUUUUGUUGGUUUCUAGGAUUGACGUA